rnacentral:rRNA from 1 species
UACAGAGGGUGCGAGCGUUGUUCGGAAUUAUUGGGCGUAAAGGGCGCGUAGGCGGUGUUGUAAGUCGCCUGUGAAACCUCUGGGCUUAACUCAGAGCCUGCAGGCGAAACUGCAAUGCUGGAGGGUGGGAGAGGUGCGUGGAAUUUCCAGUGGAGCGGUGAAAUGCGUAGAUAUUGGAAAGAACACCGAUGGCGAAGGCACUCUACUGGGCUAUUACUGACACUCAGAGACGAAAGCUAGGGGCGCAAAUGGG